rnacentral:misc_RNA from 1 species
AACGCACCUUGCGCUCCUUGGUAUUCCGAGGAGCAUGCCUGUUUGAGUGUCAUUAAAUUCUCAACCUCUUCAGCUUUUGUUGAUGAGGCUUGGAUGUGGGGGUUUUGCAGGUCUGCCUUAAUUGUGCGGUCUGCUCCCCUGAAAUGUAUUAGCGGGUUGGCUUCCGUCUAUUGGUGUGAUAAUUAUCUACGCCGUGGAUGGGUUUGGCUUUCAGACCAGCUUCUAAUCGUCCUUUGGACAACUAUUGACAUUUUUGACCUCAAAUCAGGUAGGACUACCCGCUGAACUUAA